CAAUUCUCUGAUGGCUAGGGAAGACGAGCAUGUUUCUCGUGUGUUUGUUGUUGAAGCUGAAGGAUCCUAAUGAUGACUCUCUUUUAGAAUGAUCAAGGAAGGUGUUCUGUCACUCUCUCUGCUUCCUCCUCUGACGGUUGAGAUGUGAGCUCUCAGCUUCUCUGUUCCCGCUGCCAUGCCUGUCACUUGCUGCUCUGUAUGGUCACCAUGAUGGACUUUUAUCUCCCUGGAACUGUGAGACCAAAUAAACUCUUCCUCCUGCAA